UUGGAGAAACACAAAGUCCCAGCAAAGUACAUUACCCUCAUCAAGGACAUGUACAACAAUGUUGUGACAAGUGUUCGAACAAGUGAUGUCGACACCGAUGACUUCCCGAUUAAGAUAGGACUGCAUCAGGGGUCAGCUUUGAGCCCUUAUCUUUUUGCAUUGGUGAUGGAUGAGGUCACAAGGGGUAUACAAGGAGAUAUCCCAUGGUGUAUGCUCUUUGCGAAUGAUGUGGUGCUAGUUGACGAUAGUCGGACGGGGGUAAAUAGGAAGUUAGAGUUAUGGAGACAAACCUUGGAAUAG
rnacentral:rRNA from 1 species